AUCGGCACACAACACACCGCAAGGAAGAUCACAACAGGAAACUGUUUUAAGGUAGUAGUCGUCCUCAGCCCAGCUAAGAAUAUCAUCAUUACUGUGGCUUUGUGCACUUCGAGUCAGAGGACCUACUAUGCUAACAGUGAACGUCAUAAGAGAGGACUAAACAUAAAAUUAAGGUGGGUGCUGUACUCUACAAUGGUCCUGGACAUGUGGGCAACAACGAUGACCCAAACAGAAACUACUCUCCUUCAGGUCUUCCCACUGAAAUGUUUCCACCACGGCAAGGAUGUCUUCUGACAUACAAAAAGGGCAAACGUGAGAGAGAACCAGGAGACACAAUGCAUGCACACUGCUUAAUUAACACUGUGUUCUGUGAUCCAACACAGAACCGAAGCUGCAGACACAGAGGACGUAGCCUACCUGGGCACAACGUGCAUCCAUUCUAAAUGUCUGUCAUCUCGAAGACAGAGAGUAAAAUAUCCUUUCUUCACUUUGGGUUUUGAAGAAUUUAUACAUGGUUUUGAAAGUUUGGUAGACAGCCUCAAAAAGUCAUGAGACGCUUUGCUGCUGUUAGCUCACCUGCAGCCUGUUAUCCCUGCCAUGCGCUGGGAAGCCAUGCUGCCAUUCUGCCUGUUCUUCCACCACGCAUCCACUUCUCCACCUCAGCAUCUUCAGGCGAAGCCAAGUAAUACAGGAAGAGCUUUCAUUAAUCACAUGAUACAUAACUUUCACAAAAUUGUUAUGCAGUGAAAUUCCCAGGUUAUGCAACAGUGCAAUAUCUGCCAAAACAAGCAUCAUUUUCAAGAAGUGAUUAAAAAAAAAAAAAAACCCACAAUUUUUGAUACAGGUUUACUGAGGUUAGGUAAGUUACAAAUGCAUCUAUGUUAGUCUGCUAUUAAUAGCUUACAGUUGAAUGAACAACCUUUCUAACAUGUGCUCCUGAGAUUGCCAGACAAACUAAAAGGGAACGGUAUCAUUUGGUUUUUUUCCCUCUUUAAUGAAUCAUGCAAAGUGUCCUUUCUAGUUUUGUUACUCAUAAAUGCAAUUACAAUAAUUAACUAGCCAGAUGCUCUGUACAACUUGCUAUGAGAUGUUAUGAUUACCAACUUUUUCCCUACACGGUCUAGGACCAAACUCCAGGCUGAGGGCAGAGGUUACAGAGCUGCAGCAAUGAGCACUCAGAGCAUCUGCUGAGCCCAGUCCUAAGGGUGCUGCAGGAGCUGAAACACGGGGACACUGCAAGACACAGCUUUAUCCUCCUGCCAGAAAGCAGUAUGAACCAUAUCUGCUGUGAUUUGUUGCUGUCACCUGAACACCCUCUAGAGCUCUCCUCUGAUGUGAAGACAGAAGUCUUGUUAGUGAGCCAUCACAACAAAGCAAACACAGCAAACACCCUGUGUGCACACAGAACGCUGCUCUGCAGUACACCGUGUUGGGAAGGACGCCGGUUCUCUGCUGGAUGCUAAAUGUAGGUAUUGAGAGAUGAGUGGGCCUCCCUAACAAACUUAUCCCAUUUCCGAAAGCAAAAUACAGUGCAGUUCUCCUGCCUGACUCUUCUCUAACCUAGUUCAAAAUCGUUUCAACUGCUCGUGUUCUCAUCCAGGCUCAUUUUCAUCUCAGUCAUAACUCACAGAGAUUUGCCUCCUUUAUACUGAAGACAGAGAAAAAUACCAUUUUACCAAGGAUGAUUAAAUGGAAAAAACAGUCUCAAUUUUGUAAAAUCUAAUUUCUUAAAUAAUGAUUGCUAGUCAAUUAUGCAUUUCAGAUUCAGAAAUGAAUCUUAAUUCAGAAUUGUAUCUGAAAUGUCACUGUCUGCACUUUCUUAAUAAUCUGAGCUUUCAGUCACUAUCCAUUAUAUUAUUUAUGUUUAACUCCUAAAGCUGAUGGUAAAAGCAAGCCAAAAAGAAUACCAUGACCUUUCCUUGGAAGGAGGUAAUUUACACAUGCAGGCAGGCGAAAAAAUACUGGAGAGCAAAAUCACACAAAGGAUUUUUCAAAGAAACCCCUUCUCUUCUGACGCUUACUGGUGUGAUAUCACACUUCAGUCUGGUAUGGAUACUUCAGCUCCAGCUUUCCCAUUAAUGAACUGCAACCAUAACAACGCUCAAUCUAAUUUUCUCGUAUUUUUAGAGGUCUUUGAUAUUUUAUAGAUGUCAUUAACUCAGCUAUGGUUUCAAGGAGAAAUUCCCUGGACAGGAAUAAGACUGCACUGUAGCAACCAAAUUCCUUCCUGCAGAAAAAGUCCUUGAGGAUUCUAUUUCUCAGCAAGCCAAAGGGCGUUCAGAAGGAGAGGAAUUUCAGAUGUCCCUCCACAGGUCCUCCUCAAAGUGUUCAUGUAGCCGUGUCAGAGAUGGGGCUGGGACUCCACUUCGGCCCUUCCUCUCAAACUACUCAUAUGUAAAACAGAAAAAUACUGAAAGCUACUGCUGUAAGUUUAACUAAAAGCUUAGCAAUUGACUUGAAUAACAAGCCGACAGGUUCUUGUAUUUACUUUAGCUACCAGAACACAUGCACAUACACAGAGCCCCAAAACACAAUAUUUAGCAAGAACAAGUGGCCAGAAACACAGUCAGCUAGUAAACAAAAUGUUCAUUAUGUAGCAAAGUACUACUGAUUAUUUCCUCAGAUAUGCAUACAGGGUAGAGAACUCAAUAGAAAAUAAAAUAAGGAUGCAUACCAUGCUUUAUCUAUAUGUAUAUUUAAUAAACUGAUUCACAUUGGUACUUGAGCUUUCUCUCUACAGAAAGCAGAAAGGGAAAAAAAAACAUCAAUUAAAAACAUACUAAUAAACAUACUCUACUCUAAAAUGUAAGAUAAACACACAUUUCUAACUUCACAGUAAUAAUGAGUGUCAAGUGAAGUAGAUACAGAUGAAUUAUCUCACACAAUUUUCCCAUCUAGGUAAUUCUUUUCUCUGUACACUCCCACGAGUGCUCUCACCAUGGCUCUCCCACAAAUUAUCUCCAGACAGUGAAAUCUCAUGUGGAGUGCUGCCACGUACAUAAUGUAACAGCUUCAACAACUUCUGGAUAGGCCUUCAGCCCUCCAUACAAGAGCUUCAAGUGUUUAUAAAGCUUCUGAAGAUACAAGUUUCUAGUAAGAUGAGUUUCACUAUUUCCCCAGCUGAGAGAAUGCUUUUACCAAUGCUCAGUUUGGUCAUUUCCACCAACUGCAAUGUAAGUACAAUUAACUACUAAGAAUACCACUAGAAAGUACAUCUAAAAGCAUUUUCAGGAUGAAUAUCAAAAUUCCUUCCCAAGCACACUUACAAUUCAGGAUCGCCACCUGCCUCCUCAUAGCCUACAAGAAUCCCUCAACGCUCUGGCAAACAGAUUAUCAGUGGAAGCCAAAUCACGAGGUUAGUCAGCAGCCAGGGUGACCUCUGAAGGAGGCUCGCUUCUUUCCAGACAGCCUGUCCAAGCAUCAAGUCAGAUCUAUUGCUUCCAAGACUAAAGGAGGAGAGAAACACAUCUGUUUGAGCAACUUUUGUAUUAUAUAAAAAUAAACAGCACCUGAAGAUGUUAGCAAAGCUGUUCCCCUUUUCUUCUAAAUUCUGCUUCCUCUUCAGUCUAUGGAUGCAAUUAUGAAUAGGACAUUUUCUUGAGGAGAGAAACGUCCACAAAGAGACAAGAAAUUCAAUAAAUCACUGAUGUGCACCUGUUCUUACUGCAACUAACCGUGGAGUACACAGGAAGCAUCCUGGAACCUCCCCAUCAGAACCAUCAUUUCACCAUCAUCACUUCAGUUGCUAAUAAAAGCAGUCAGGAGGGGCCACAGGCAUGGAAAGUUCUACCUCACAGCUGCCCUUCAGGAGAGGCUCUGACACAGCUCUGAGGAGCACCCCAUAGCCUCCAAUACGGCUCCUGCCCACUGCACAGCUACCAGCAGGGAGCUUGCUGCCUCCCUGUACAAGCUGCUGUAUGUUUCCUCCCACCAAUAAGCAUCCUUUUGCAGAAAGCAGCAAAGACCAAGAACAUGCACUUCUCUAUGGUGAUGGUUUAUACAAUGCAGACACACAAAAAGGACUCUAUGGGAACUAUUAUCAGCUGCACAGGAAUGACAAAGGAUGCACAGAUUUGCUCCUUCCAUCUAAGUUUACAGCACAUUUCUAACCUCAGUCAGCACAACUUUCUCAGAUGCAAAGAAGUGCUUUGCAAGCUGCUGAAUUGGCUGUGUGAUGUCUUGGCAGCAAUAUAUCUUCUCCAGCACAGGGCCACAUGAAAGGACACAGCCCACUCACCAUCCCAGCUCCUGUGCUCACACCAGCUUCACUGAGCCACCACCUGUCGUGCUCUGAGAACACUGCAGUGUCACCACCAAAAGGACAUGGUUGCUGAUCCAGGCUGGUCUCCUGGGGAGACUGCCCUAUGUUUCCAAACUCACUGUCAAACACGAGCGGCCCCCCACCUCCAUGACUCACAGAAGUACAUACAACACCAUGUUUCGUCUUCAUUUCCCCCAAAGUCCCUCUCAGGUAGGUCAGGAUCCUCACACGAUGUAUAUUUAAAAAGGACCAGCAGUAACUUUUAAGCACAUCCCUGUUAACAGAGCACAGAAGAGGAAGAUUUGUGCAUUUGCGUUUAAUGGGUAGUUCUCAGAUACAAUGGUUAUGGAUGAGCUUCGGACAUAUAAAGCAAUUAAAUUUAAUGCACUAGAAGAAGUUAGAUGCUAUUUCUGACCGAAUGAUCUCAAAAAGGGCGUGUGCAGAUGCUCUCAUCUGAGACCCAAUGUUGUUUUCCUCUCAAAGCAGAAGGAUUUUACUCUCUUGGUUUUGUCACAUUUGACUCGUCACCAGUAUGUCAACAUUUGAUAUAAUUAAAUUAAAAUAAUUAAAACUCUACAAGAACUCCUGAAAAACCUAAUGCGUUCCCUUCUUUUAAGGAGGGAGCCCCAAAGCAAGGAGGUAGCCAAGACAAACAGGAAUAUAUUGCUUAAAUCAAGAAGUGAGCAGGUACAGAACUUCCUUUCUUCAUUACUCCUAAUCAGUUUAAGAGCAUGAUUCAUUUGCUAAACUUCAUUUGAUACAAGUUGUGGAGAUAAAAUUGAAUUACCCACUGAAGGCACAAUAGAAUAAUUAAAGGAAGUAGGUAUUCAAUGCCUUUGAAAAUCCAUCUCUCCUCGAGAAAAUGCUUACAUACAUAUUUGUGUCCAUCUCUGUAAAGGAAAAUAUGCAAGUUUAUGCCUGAAGAUCUUCUUCGACGAAGGCCAAGGAGAGAAAUUCACGUAUGUGUAGCUGAGGACUGUGCCCUGCUCGGAAUCACCAGGCCCAACCACACAUACUAACAAGUACUCCCGUGUUCUUUCAAGUAGAAUGCCUAAGACGACACACUUCAGUGCCCAAAGUGAUGAAUGUUUUGCCGAGCUUCCUGUAACGCAAUUACACUGCAACUCAGACAGCUAACAAAAGAAAAAUCUGCUGUUACAUGGAAAAUUGAACACACUCCUUGAUCAAGUACAGAUGAACUGUAAGACAGCCUUUGAACUUUUAAUUGAUAUAUUAAAGGAAUUUUACUUUGACAUAAGCGUAGCAACUGCUUAAUAAUACUUUGCAAUUGAUAAAACCACACAGUUGAUGAAUUUUCUGCCUUGACUGAGCUGCAGUGGCAAUCCCUUGGGCAAUCAGUCUGCUCUCUUACAGGAAACCUGCAGAUCAAGCUCUCAGUAACAUCUCUCUCAGAAAACAGAAAGGGAAGAUAAUACACAAGUUUUCCCCAAUUUAGUAGUUCACAUAAUGCAUUUACAAAAGCAAAUUUCAGUACACCAGCAUUAAAAACAAAAACAAGAAUGCAUGCUCUGUUGUGUGAAUGGUUUGCAAAGAGAAAGAGCAAGACUUAUUGUACAAAAAAUGCACACAAAAAAAAAUCUGCCUUAUCAGAAAGAAUGUAGCAAAUAACAGCAAUUCUGUUUACAUGUUAAAGAUUUUUCAUUACUUAGUACCUUUCUAGUGUCCUACUCCUUCUUAUUUUACCUGCACGAAGGAGACCCAGCUUUCCUUCAACUGAAAUCUGUGGCAAAUAUCAUUAAUUUUCAUCAGACUUAAAAUUUAGAGUAAUGGAAAUACGACCACAAAAACCAGGUGGAAAAUUUUUUGUCUGUGAGCUAUUAAGAAACAACCACCCUACAGCACUGAGUUUUCAGCGUUAGAAGUUUACAUUAUCUAGGAAUAAAUACUUUUAUUUUCCCUGUGCAACUCUUCUUUUCCCCCCUGAAAACAUGAAUAAAAUUACAGAAUGUGCUUUUCCAUUAAGGCUAUCAAAAAAAGUUUCCCUUCAUUUUCAUGAGUACUGGUAUCAUAUUAAUGAUGAUUAUUCUAAUGAAUAGUGAAUGAAUUAUUAAAGAUGGAAUGACCUCUGGUAUUCCAUUUGGUUGACGCUAGAAGUUAACUGCAAUUAUAGAAUUUUCUUUUUUAGCUCAGUUCUACUUCUACCCAAUUCAAGAAACUUAAUUCAUCACAAACAGCAGUAUAAUACGGUGAAUAGCUAUUAAAAAUACAGUCAAAUUUGGAGGACUGGAAGCUCAUCAGAACUGCCCAACUACAUAAAAUGAAAAUAAAUGUCAUGAUAAAGUCGAAGACUGCAGAAACUUGAAAACUAUUAAAGGAAAAAGGUCCCUAGCCCAUUAAGCCACCACCUAGAACCUCCUGUGCAAAUCUGUCACACAAACAGUGUCUUACAGGCAAUUAAAAUCUUCCUAAAAUCUUCCAGGCAGUCUCUAAAGCAGCUACUCCUUUGAGACAGCAUAUACUUAAUGCCACAUAACGUAUUCAUAGAUCAUCCUGCCCCUGGCCAAAGUCUGUAAAUCCAAGCAAUAUUUCUCACCGUACGAGGCCACAGAAAGUUGAUCAAGAGUCUUCACCCUAUACAAGUCACUCAAUAAGCAAGACAAGAAACGUCACUUCCAAGACUGAUAAAGAAAGAAAAGCGUAUAAAAGGCAGAAUCAUUACCCCUCAAACACAACACUAAAUGUAAGAUUAUAAAAUGAGGAGGAAAAUUACAGCCACAAAGCAAUGUCUCACUCGCAUCAAGAAUACAGUAGGAGAAGAAAUGGAGAAGACUCCACUCAGGCUGUACAUUUAUUUAAAACUACUGAAGGCAAGUACUAAUGUACUACAUGAACCGCCUCAUUAACCACAUACACAGCUCAAUCUCAUUUAAGAAAUAAACAUUAGGACAGAAGAAAGCCCAUGUGCAUAAACUUCCACCAGUUCCAGCCCUGGUGACUUACCUAAAGUAAAUCUUUUGUUCUCUUAUUUCUAGGAAGUUGAGGAACAGUUCUGAUUUUUAUGGCAGAGCAGUAUUUCUCCUGGACCAUUACUGUUAGGUCAGAAAACAAGGUAAGUACAAAUGAGGGAACUGGAGAAAUCAAGCCUGAGGAGUAAAAUGUGAAACAGUAUUUUGCUAAGGUAAGUGAAAACCACUUCUUACGCACAUCACAUGAUACACUGCCAAUCCUGAAGAUCCUCACGAAGGCAACAGUUUUCCAACAAAAACUGAACAAUAGAGAAGUUAUUACGCAGUGCCCACGAUAGGGUUCCAAGAGAGGAAUGCCACCCAUGAACAGUGGUAGGAAAGCACAGGAAUGAAGCCUUGUUGCCCAUCUGAUCUUCUCUGAAGUUCACAGAGAAAGCACAAAGAGCUCUGAAGACUCAUGUACAUGCGUGGUUAGAGUACGAGUGAGAUGCACUGCAAAAGAGCAUACAGGAAGUGAACAUAAAAACCUAGGAAGUCCAAUUAAGAGAAGAAUAGAGCUCUGCAUCUGGUGCAGACAAAAAAAAAAAAAAAAAAAAAACAACCCAAAACACCAACAAA